rnacentral:misc_RNA from 1 species
AACUAACAUGAUUAACAGUGAUGGUCUAUGAUGGGUCGAGGGAGGCGUCUGGCCCUUGGCAUCUUUGUCCUGCUGGUGGUCGACGUCAUUUGGGUGGCUUCAUCAGAAUUGUCGGAGUAUAUCUUCAAUGAUACCGGCUUCAAUAAACCUUUUUUCAGUACAUACUUAAAGACCAGUAUGUUUUCACUAUAUUUGCUGGGAUUUAUAUUUUGGAGCCCCUGGAGACACCAAUGUGCCCAAAGAAACCACGAUGAGAGUAUUUACCAGGAAGUGGAUUCAAUGGAGGAUGAAGAUUUACCGCUGUCAGAUGUUUGACGAGAGACAGGCGCACCCCUCCACCUGUGCCCAUCUUCACUUUGGACCAGCUGGCAUCUAGUGUUGCGAGAGACAGUGAUGCGAAUGCUCAACUGACACAUUUGGUCCUGUGGCACUAUUUACCCAUUCAACAAGCUAGAACGAUUUAUAACAACAAUGAUGAAAAGAGUGAACCAAAGUAUGUUCCUCUGAAACUACAAGAAUUGCAAGAAAAAAGUUCUGAUGGAGAAUCUGAUGACUCUUCAGUAAAGUCCGUCCGCUUCAGCAAAUUGACAGAGGUUCGGCAAAUGUCAGAAAACGAGGCAGUUGAUGCCAUGAUGUCUCGCCUGUCUUUUUCUGCCUCUGUCCGUGCUGAACAACUGGCUAUGCAGGCAGCAAAUAAAUUAUCUGUUAAGGAAGUUAUGAAAAUAUCUAGUAUAUUUUGUUUAUUGUGGUUUGCAGGCAAUUACAGCUACCAAAUAGCACUUAGCAACACAGAAGCUGGUGUUGUCAAUAUUAUUUCAUCAACAUCUGGAUUGUUUACCUGUGAUUCUUGCUGCCAUAUUUCCAUCAUCCUUAACAGACAAGUUUACUCUCUCCAAAUUGGCCUCAGUUCUUCUUAUGGUUGCAGGUGUGGUUUUAGUUAGUUUGGAAGACCUCAACCUUGAAAGUUCAGUUGUGCCUGUUGGUGUGGUAUGGUCAAUAGCUGGAGCUAUUCUUUAUGCCUGUUACAUGGUCUUCCUGAAGCACAAGGUUCCAACUGAAGAUCGUAUGGAUUUUACUAUGUUCUUUGGAUUUGUGGGCUUUUUCAAUACCAUCAUUCUGUGGCCCGGGUUCCCCCUGUUGGAUGUUUUUGGAUGGGAGACAUUUUAGUUGCCAAAUCUGCAACACCUGUUCUACAUGUCUGUUAAUGGCUUAGUAGGAACUGUCCUGUCUGAACUUCUUUGGCUUUGGGGAUGCUUCCUUACUUCAUCAUUGAUGGCUACUUUAUCUUUGAGCUUAACUAUUCCCUUGACAAUGUUUGUGGACAUCUGGCUCAAGGGCAUCAAGUAUUCACUGCUAAUUUAUAUUGGUGCAAUUCCCAUGAUGACAUCUUUUAUUGCUGUCUCACUUCUCACACAUUAUGAAAGCUGGGACCCAUUGAUGGAUGGAAUGAAAUAUCUUCAUAGAAAGUGUUGGAGAAGAAACCACAUGUACAGGUAAAU